rnacentral:rRNA from 1 species
CUCCAGACUCCUACGGGAGGCAGCAGUGGGGAAUAUUGCACAAUGGGGGGAACCCUGAUGCAGCGACGCCGCGUGGGUGAAGGAGUAUUUCGGUAUGUAAAGCCCUAUCAGCAGGGAAGAACAAUGACGGUACCUGACUAAGAAGCACCGGCUAAAUACGUGCCAGCAGCCGCGGUAAUACGUAGGGGGCAAGCGUUAUCCGGAUUUACUGGGUGUAAAGGGGGCGCAGACGGCAGCGCAAGCCAGGAGUGAAAGCCCGGGGCCCAACCCCGGGACUGCUCUUGGAACUGCGCGGCUGGAGUGCAGGAGGGGCAGGCGGAAUUCCUGGUGUAGCGGUGAAAUGCGUAGAUAUCAGGAGGAACACCGGUGGCGAAGGCGGCCUGCUGGACUGCGACUGACGUUGAGGCCCGAAAGCGUGGGGAGCAAACAGGAUUAGAUACCCCGGUAAG